rnacentral:rRNA from 1 species
AUUGAACGCUGGCGGCAGGCCUAACACAUGCAAGUCGAACGAGUGGCGGACGGGUGAGUAAUGUCUGGGAAACUGCCUGAUGGAGGGGGAUAACUACUGGAAACGGUAGCUAAUACCGCAUACCAUCGGAUGUGCCCAGAUGGGAUUAGCUAGUGGGUGGGGUAAAGGCUCACCUAGGCGACGAUCCCUAGCUGGUCUGAGAGGAUGACCGGCCACAUUGGGACUGAGACACGGCCCAGACUCCUACGGGAGGCAGCAGUGGGGAAUAUUGCACAAUGGGCGCAAGUCUGAUGCAGCCAUGCCGCGUGUAUGAAGAAGGCUUUCGGGUUGUAAAGUACUGUCGGUGGGGAAGCGGUAACCGCACAAGAAGCACCGGCUAACUCCGUGCCAGCAGCCGCGGUAAUUC